rnacentral:rRNA from 1 species
CCAUGUGGCGACACAGCGCGGAACUCGAAAACGACCUCUCAGUUCGGAUCGGAGUCUGCAACCCGACUCCGUGAAGCUGGAUUCGCUAGUAAUCGCGCAUCAGCCAUGGCGCGGUGAAUACGUUCCCGGGCCUUGUACACACCGCCCGUCAAGCCAUGGGAGCCGGGAGCGCUUGAAGUGCGUCGCCGCGAGGCGCGCCCUAGAGCGAGACCGGUGACUGGGGCUAAGUCGUAACAAGGUAUC